UUCACGGGCUCUUCCAUAGUAGCCUGAGGGAAGUACCACUCCUUUUUAGUAUCUCCUCCGACAGCUUCAGCCCAGCCAAUCAGCCUUCAUCCUCUAGGACCCCGAAGACCUCCCCUGUCCAAGCAGUAAGACACAGGCCACUUUAGAGACCACGUGAGUGGGUGCUGCAUGCAGAAGCUCUGUUUUUUCCUCCUCUAAAGCUUGUUUGCCUAUCCUGAGGUAGAACUCUCAGGGCCUUCUCCAGCACCAUGUCUGCCUGUAUACGGCCGUGCUUCUUGCCAUGAGGAUAAUGGACUAAACCUCU